rnacentral:rRNA from 1 species
UUUUCGUAGGUGAACCUGCGGAA